UACGUAGGGUGCAAGCGUUAAUCGGAAUUACUGGGCGUAAAGCGUGCGCAGGCGGUUUCUUAAGUCAGAUGUGAAAGCCCCGGGCUUAACCUGGGAACUGCGUUUGAAACUGGGAGACUUGAGUGUGGCAGAGGGGGGGUGGAAUUCCACGUGUAGCAGUGAAAUGCGUAGAUAUGUGGAGGAACACCGAUGGCGAAGGCAGCCCCCUGGGUUAACACUGACGCUCAUGCACGAAAGCGUGGGGAGCAACAGG
rnacentral:rRNA from 1 species